GACGAACGCUAGCGGCGUGCUUAACACAUGCAAGUCGAACGGAAAGGCCCUGCUUUUGUGGGGUGCUCGAGUGGCGAACGGGUGAGUAACACGUGAGUAACCUGCCCUUGACUUUGGGAUAACUUCAGGAAACUGGGGCUAAUACCGGAUAGGAGCUCCUGCUGCAUGGUGGGGGUUGGAAAGUUUCGGCGGUUGGGGAUGGACUCGCGGCUUAUCAGCUUGUUGGUGGGGUAGUGGCUUACCAAGGCUUUGACGGGUAGCCGGCCUGAGAGGGUGACCGGACUGAGGGAUAGUGAGGUACGGCGCCGGAGCGUAGGGGAGGGCGCAGUGGGGACUAGUGAAGAUGGGGAGUAGGCUGGAGGAGCGAGCGCGGGGGGGGGGAUGGCGGUUUGAGAGUGGACAACGGCGUUCUCGAGUGAGGAGGAGAGGGCGACGGGAAGGGGUAACGAAGCACCGGCUAACUCCGUGCAAGCAGCCGCGGUAAUAGAGAGAAAGAGAACACGUCGAAA
rnacentral:rRNA from 1 species